rnacentral:tRNA from 1 species
AGGGUUGUAACUCAGUAGUAGAGUACAUGUGUGAGGCCCUGGGUUCAAUUCCUGGCACCACUG